rnacentral:rRNA from 1 species
UACGAAGGGGGCUAGCGCUGCUCGGAAUUACUGGGCGUAAAGGGCGCGUAGGCGGACAGUUUAGUCGGGGGUGAAAGCCCGGGGCUCAACCUCGGAAUUGCCUUCGAUACUGGCUGUCUUGAGUACGGGAGAGGUGUGUGGAACUCCGAGUGUAGAGGUGAAAUUCGUAGAUAUUCGGAAGAACACCAGUGGCGAAGGCGACACACUGGCCCGUUACUGACGCUGAGGCGCGAAAGCGUGGGGAGCAAACAGG